GGAGAUGUGGCUCAGUGGUAUAGCACUUGCCUAGCAUGUGUGAGGCCCUGGGUUCAAUUCCCAGUACCACCC
rnacentral:tRNA from 1 species